GAUGAACGCUGGCGGCGUGCCUAAUACAUGCAAGUAGAACGCUGAAGGAAGGAGCUUGCUCUUUCCGGAUGAGUUGCGAACGGGUGAGUAACGCGUAGGUAACCUGCCUGGUAGCGGGGGAUAACUAUUGGAAACGAUAGCUAAUACCGCAUAACAGUAGAUGUUGCAUGAUAUCUACUUAAAAGGUGCAAUUGCACCACUACCAGAUGGACCUGCGUUGUAUUAGCUAGUUGGUGAGGUAACGGCUCACCAAGGCGACGAUACAUAGCCGACCUGAGAGGGUGAUCGGCCACACUGGGACUGAGACACGGCCCAGACUCCUACGGGAGGCAGCAGUAGGGAAUCUUCGGCAAUGGACGGAAGUCUGACCGAGCAACGCCGCGUGAGUGAAGAAGGUUGUCGGAUCGUAAAGCUCUGUUGUAAGAGAAGAACGAGUGUGAGAGUGGAAAGUUCACACUGUGACGGUAUCUGACCAGAAAGGGACGGCUAACUACGUG
rnacentral:rRNA from 1 species